rnacentral:rRNA from 1 species
GACGAACGCUGGCGGCGUGCUUAACACAUGCAAGUCGGACGGAAAGGCCCUGCUUUUGUGGGGUGCUCGAGUGGCGAACGGGUGAGUAACACGUGAGUAACCUGCCCUUGACUUUGGGAUAACUUCAGGAAACUGGGGCUAAUACCGGAUAGGAGCUCCUGCUGCAUGGUGGGGGUUGGAAAGUUUCGGCGGUUGGGGAUGGACUCGCGGCUUAUCAGCUUGUUGGUGGGGUAGUGGCUUACCAAGGCUUUGACGGGUAGCCGGCCUGAGAGGGUGACCGGCCACAUUGGGACUGAGAUACGGCCCAGACUCCUACGGGAGGCAGCAGUGGGGAAUAUUGCACAAUGGGCGGAAGCCUGAUGCAGCAACGCCGCGUGCGGGAUGACGGCCUUCGGGUUGUAAACCGCUUCCGCCUGUGACGAAGCGUGAGUGACGGUAAUGGGUAAAGAAGCACCGGCUAACUACGUG